rnacentral:tRNA from 1 species
GGGGGUAUAGUUUAACAGGUAAAACAGUGGUCUCCAAAACCACCGUCCUAGGUUCGAAUCCUAGUACCCUCG